rnacentral:rRNA from 3 species
UACGUAGGGUGCAGGCGUUAAUCGGAAUUACUGGGCGUAAAGCGUGCGCAGGCGGUUUGCUAAGAGAGAUGUGAAAUCCCCGGGCUUAACCUGGGAACUGCGUUUCUAACUGGCAGGCUUGAGUGUGGCAGAGGGGGGUGGAAUUCCACGUGUAGCAGUGAAAUGCGUAGAGAUGUGGAGGAACACCGAUGGCGAAGGCAGCCCCCUGGGCUAACACUGACGCUCAUGCACGAAAGCGUGGGGAGCAAACAGG